UACGAAGGGUGCAAGCGUUACUCGGAAUUACUGGGCGUAAAGGGUGCGUAGGUGGUUUGUUAAGUCAGAUGUGAAAUCCCCGGGCUCAACCUGGGAAUGGCAUUUGAGACUGGCAGGCUAGAGUGUGUCAGAGGGGGGUAGAAUUCCACGUGUAGCAGUGAAAUGCGUAGAGAUGUGGAGGAACACCGAUGGCGAAGGCAGCCCCCUGGGAUAACACUGACGCUCAUGCACGAAAGCGUGGGGAGCAAACAGG
rnacentral:rRNA from 1 species